AAUAGAUACCCUGGUAGUCCACGCUGUAAACGUUGGACACUAGGUGUGGCGGUCUGAUCGACGACUGCCGUGCCGAAGCUAACGCAUUAAGUGUCCCGCCUGGGGAGUACGGCCGCAAGGCUAAAACUCAAAGGAAUUGACGGGUCCCCGCACAAGCGGCGGAGCAUGCGGCUUAAUUCGAUGCAACCCGAAGAACCUUACCUGGGUUUGACAUCAUGGGAAAAGCCGUGGAAACACGGUGUCCGUAAGGGCCCAUGACAGGUGGUGCAUGGCUGUCGUCAGCUCGUGUCGUGAGAUGUUGGGUUAAGUCCCGCAACGAGCGCAACCCUUGUCCUAUGUUGCCAGCGGUUCGGCCGGGGACUCAUAGGAGACUGCCGGGGAUAACUCGGAGGAAGGUGAGGACGAUGUCAAGUCAUCAUGCCCCUUAUAUCCAGGGCUGCACGCAUGCUACAAUGGUCGGUACAACGGGCAGCGAUCCUGCGAAGGUGAGCGAAUCCCACAAAGCCGGCCUCAGUUCGGAUUGG
rnacentral:rRNA from 1 species